UGAAAGAAGGAUAAUCUGUGAGAGCAGCAGGCCGAGACCCAAAGAAGAUAAGGAUGUAGGGGAGGAGGGCUUCUGGACAGAGUUUUACAGCGUUAGGACGAGUUGAAAGACCUUUAGGACAGGGUUUUACAGCGUUAGGACGAGGUUAAAGACGUUUAGGACAGAGUUUUACAGUGUUAGGACGAGGUUAAAGACGUUUAGGACAGAGUUUUACAGUGUUAGGACGAGGUUAAAGACGUUUAGGACAGGGUUUUACAGUGUUAGGACGAGGUUAAAGACGUUUAGGACAGGGUUUUACAGUGUUAGGACGAGGUUAAAGACGUUUAGGACAGAGUUUUACAGUGUUAGGACGAGGUUAAAGACGUUUAGGACAGAGUUUUACAGUGUUAGGACGAGGUUAAAGACGUUUAGGACAGAGUUUUACAGUGUUAGGACGAGGUUAAAGACGUUUAGGACAGAGUUUUACAGUGUUAGGACGAGGUUAAAGACGUUUAGGACAGAGUUUUACAGUGUUAGGACGAGGUUAAAGACAUUUAGGACAGAGUUUUACGUCCCUCCGGUCGUUUCUCUUGUCGUCCAUCUGGUCGUUUCUCUUAUCGUCCUCUGAUCUUCCUUCAGGUCGU